GAUACGCUGACGGCACGCCUAAUACCCUGCAAGUUCCAACGGUGUCUUCGGACAUAGUGGCGCACGGGUGCGUAACACGUAUGCAACCUACCUUACAUUGGGGGAUAGCCUUUCGAAAGGGAGAUUAAUACCGCAUAAGACAGUAGCUGGGCAUCCAGCAGCUGUUAAAGAUUUAUCGAUGUAAGCUGGGCAUGCGUCCAAUUAGCUAGUUGGUGAGGUAAUGGCUCACCAAGGCAAUGAUUGGUAGGGGAACUGACGAGGUCAAUCCCCCACACUGGCACUGAGAUACGGGCCAGACUCCUACGGGAGGCAGCAGUAAGGAAUAUUGGGCAAUGGACGCAAGUCUGACCCAGCCAUGCCGCGUGCAGGAUGAAGGCGUUAUGCGUUGUAAACUGCUUUUAUACAGGAAGAAACGACUCUUGCGAGAGGCAUUGACGGUACUGUAUGAAUAAGCACCGGCUAACUCCGUGCCAGCAGCCGCGGUAAUACGGAGGGUGCAAGCGUUGUCCAGGAUUUAUUGGGUUUAAAGGGUGCGCAGUGUGGUUUAUCAAGUCAGUGGUGAAAGACGGUCGCUCAACGAUUGCAGUGACAUUGAAACUGGUAGAACUUGAAGUUAAAAGUACGAACGAGUGGCGCGUGAAAUUGAUAGUUGUAGCCGGGUGAAAAAUGCAAUAGAAUAUUAAUCAAGAAAACUCCCCAAUCGCGUACAGGCAGACUCACUUGGGCUUUAACUUGAACACUUCAAUGGCACAGAAAAGUUGUUGGGGUAUUCAAACACGGAUUAGAAUACCCCCGUUUAGUCCAACACUGUACACAUCAAUACCAAGGUGUCCGACGCAAAC
rnacentral:rRNA from 1 species